GACCUGAUGGCACAGUUGGUUAGUGCGUCUGCUUAAAGUCUGAGUGGCAUAAGUAUGUCUGUAGAAGGCCCCGGUUCGAAUCCGGGUCAGGUCA